rnacentral:piRNA from 1 species
UGGAAUACAAGAGUGAAGGGCAGUCACAA